rnacentral:rRNA from 1 species
UACGGAGGGGACUAGCGUUGUUCGGAAUUACUGGGCGUAAAGGGCUCGUAGGCGGCCAACUAAGUCAGACGUGAAAUCCCUCGGCUUAACCGGGGAACUGCGUCUGAUACUGGAUGGCUUGAGUGUGGGAGAGGGAUGCGGAAUUCCAGGUGUAGCGGUGAAAUGCGUAGAUAUCUGGAGGAACACCGGUGGCGAAGGCGGCAUCCUGGACCAUUACUGACGCUGAGGCGCGAAAGCUAGGGGAGCAAACGGG